GUCAUUCCAAUGGCUAAUCACAACAAAACAUUUACAUGCCAACAUUGACCAAGGUAACCUAUACAUGUCAUUAUAACCAAAGUUGAUUUACUAAAUAUACCAAGAUGAGUCGAUGGAUAGUGUGAUGAUAUCUUCGCCAAGCUUCCAACCCAACGAGCUUUUGAAUUACUAUAGAAGAAAGGAAAAUAAAACAAAGUAAUUUAAUGCUUAGUAAGUUAGGAUAAUAGGAGAGUAACUUACCAUUUAAUUCACAUUUAAAAUAAGCAAAUAAACAUGCUCAACCAAUUUGGCCAAUUGCCUAAACACAUAUCCUCAUCAAGUUAGUUAGUCAUGUAAUUCACAUAAAUACCAAGAAAUAAUGAAUAAGCUCAUCAAUAUUCAAUUUCCACAUACAAGUAUUCAUCACUUCAAGUGUCCAUGAAUAUGUACAUAUCAUAUCUUUGUAUUUCAAGUAUUUCUCAUAAUAACUGAUCUUGAAUUCAUAUCAUCUCAUAUCGAAACUUUACCUAUUAAACCAUUUAAAAUAUCGAUGGAUAUAAGGGUAGUACACUUAAAGUGUAAAAAGCUGUAAACCGUAAAUUCAUAUUCGGAAAUGCUCAUACAAGCACAUAAACGGGAAGCUCUCUCUCGAGCCAUAUAACAAGAAGCUCAUGUGAGCUAAAUAACGAGAAGCUUAUUCGGGUUAUAUAACGAGAAGCUCAUGAGAGCCAUAAUUAAGAAGCUCAUGCGAGCCAAUAACGGGUAGCUCUAACGAGCCAUUAAUCAGGAAGCUCCGGAUAGCCAUAUAUCGGGAAGUUCAAGCAAGCUAUAUCGAGAAGCUCCGGAGAGCCAUUAAUCAGGAAGCUCACAAAGAGUCAUAUAACGGGACGCUUAUAAAAGUUGUGGUGUGCCCACAACACAUACAAAAUCACAACUGAUCAGGAUGCUUCGAAGAGCUAUUAACAGAAAACUCGUAGGAACCAUAUAAUGGGAAGCUCAAGAGGACUAUAUACCGGGAUGCUCAUGAGAGAUAAUUACGGGACGCUCUUUCGAGCUGUGGUGUGUCUGCAACAUAUGCAAGACCACAACCAAUUCGGAAACUCUAUGUCCAUCGAAUCUCGUUAUCUAAACAAGACUUAUUAUUUAUCAAGCAUUGUCGGAUAUGUGAUCAAUUUCAUAUAUAAAUAUGACACUUAUACAAUUCACGUAUACAACAUUAAAUUCAAACAUAUAAAUAUAUAAUUUAGUUACAUGAACUUACCUUGACAAGUGUUCAUUGAUUUGUUGUCUACUAAUCCGAUACUUUCUCUUUUCCUCGAUCUAAUUCCAUAUUUUGUCUAUCCGGAUCUAUACGAGUAAAUUUAACUCAAUUUAAUACAAUUCAUAUUCAAUUUAAUCCAAUUCACAUCUUAUAAAAAUUACUAUUUUGCCCCUAUACUUUUAAUUAAUGACAAGUUCAUCAUUAGGAUCGGAAAAUGAAAUUCAUGCAAUUUAACCCUUAUUUCAAGCCUAAUUGUUUUUGACAUAUAACAUUUGCAGCCUAUGUAAUUCAUAAAAUUUGGAAUUUUUCCUUGAAUUUUACAUCUUUACAAUUUAGUCCCUAAAUAACAAUUUCAUCAAAAUUCACUUUACAAAAGUUGUUUAUCUAACAACAACCUUUCAUUUUCUACCAUAAAACUUCAUAACCCAUGCAUACUCAUCCAUGGAAAAACUUUAAUACCUUAAUAACUUUGCAAAUAAAUCCCUGAGAUAGCUAAAUUAAGUUAUUACGAUCUCGGAAAUAUAAAAAUUACUAAAAACAGGACAAAAAAAACAUACCUAAUUAAGCAAAAUAAGUUGGCUUGAGCUUAGGUUUCCAUGGCUAGGGUUUCCAUGUUUUAAUUUUGGGAAAGAUGAUGAAAAUGAUGAUAUUUUCAUUAUUUUAUCAUUUAUCAUCUUUUAUUUUUUUCACUUUCCAAUUUCAUCAUUUUCUUUAAUUAAUUUUCCAUGGAUGAAUCAUCAUACUUAUCUACUAACUUCUCUUAAUGGUCUAUUUGCCAUAUAAGGACCUCUAAUUUUGAAUUCCAUAGAUAUUUGAUACUUAUAGCUACUAGAACUCAACUUUUGCAAUUCAUGCAAUUUGGUCCUUUUAUCAAUUAAACAUGUAAUUGGUAAAAUUUUCUUAACGAAAUUUUCAUAUGACAUUCCUAUAAUAAUGCAAAUCAUAAAAUAAUAUUAAAAUAAUUUUUCUUCCUGACUCAGAUUUGUGGUCUCGAAACUAUUGUUUCGAUUUCACUAAAAAUGGGCUGUUACAACUUUCCCCCUUAAAAAUUUUCUUUCUCGAAAAUCUUACCAGUGAAAAGGGUUGGAUAUUGCUUCCUCAUUGUUUCCUUUGAUUCCCAGGUAGCUUCUUCUAUUCCGUGUCGUUGCCAGAGAACUUUUACUAAAGCUACCUUUUAAUUUCUUAGUUCUUUUGUCUCACGUGUCAGAAUUCUGAUUGGUUCCUCACUAUAAGUCAUAUCAGGCUGAAUCUCCACAUCUGUCGGAGAAAUAACAUGAGAAGAAUCUGAUCGAUACCAUCGCAACAUAGACACGUGAAAAACAUUAUGAAUUCUGUCAAGCUCUGGUGGUAAUGCCAACCGGUACACAACAGGUCUGAUUAUUUCAAUAACCUCAUAUGGCCCAAUAAAUCACGGACUCAAUUUUCCUUUACGACCAAACCGAAGAACUUUCUUCCAAUGCGAUACUUUCAAGAAUACCUUAUCACCAACUUAAAACUCUAUUUCUUUUUGUUUAAGAUCUGCAUAAGAUUUUUGACGAUCAGACGCUGCUUUCAAGCUAUCCCAAAUCACUUUUACUUUUUCUUCGGUUUCACAGAUCAGAUUAACUCCUUGUAUCUUUUUCUCACUAAGCUCUGUCCAAUACAGCAGAUUUCUACAUUUAUGACCAUACAGAGCUUCGUACGGUGCCAUCUUAAUGCUCGACUGAUAACUGUUAUUAUAUGCGAAUUCGACUAGUAGCAAAUAUUUUUCCAAAUUUCUUUCGAAUUCCAAAAUACAACACCGAAGCAUGUCUUCAAGAAUAUGAAUUACACGCUUUGACUGUCCAUCAUCUAAGGAUGAAAUGCAGUACUGAAAUAUAAUUUCGUACCUAAAGCCUCUUGUAACUUGUUCCAAAAUCGGGAUGUGAACCAUAGAUCUCUAUCAGAAAUAAUGGAGAAUGGCAUUCCAUGUAGUCUAACAAUUUCUGAAAUAUACAACUCUGCUAAUCUGUCCAGGGAGAAAUCCGUACGUACCAGAAUAAAAUGUGUAGACUUUGUCAAACGAUCAACGAUUACCCAAAUGGCAUCUUUCAUUUUCGGAGAUAAGGGUAACCCUAACACCAAAUCCAUGGUAACUCUUUCCCAUUUCCAUUCUGGUAUCCUAACUGGCUGUAAUAGCCCCAAAGGUACUUGAUGUUCAGCUUUAACUUAUCAAAUAUCUAGAUACAAAAUUAGAAAUUUCGUGUUUCAUUCCCGGCCACUAGUAUAUUUGUUUCAAAUCAUUAUACAUUUUAUUACUCCCCAGAUUCAUAGACAUAGUACCACUAUGAGCUUCGUGUAAAAUCUUCUGUACAAGCUCUGAAUUCCUUGGUACAUAUACUCUGCCUCUGUACAACAAACAAUCAUCAAGUCCAAUUUGAAAUUUUGAAUCGAAAAUUAAUUCACACUGUACCCGUUUAGCUUCAAACUCACUAUCACUUUUCUGAGCUUCACAUAUCUGCUGUAGAAAUGUCGGCUUAGCUUUUAACUCGGCCAAAAUUGAGCCAUUAUCUAGCAAUGAUAAUCGGGUAUUCAUUGCUCGUAAAGCAAACAGAGACUUUCUGCUUAGAGCAUCUGCAACUAUAUUUGAUUUUACCGGAUGAUAAUCGAUAAUCGGAUUAUAUUUUUUUAACAAUUCAAGCCAUCUGCAUUGUCUCAGAUUCAAGUAUUUUUGCGACAUCAUAUAUUUCAAACUUUUAUAAUCAGUGAAUAUAUGACAAAUUUCACCAAACAUGUAGUGUCGCCAAAUUUUUAAAGCAAAAUACAAUAGCUGCUAAUUUAAUAUCAUGUAUCGGGUAAUUCUUUUUAUGUGGCUUAAGCUGUCUAGAAGCAUAGGCUAUUACUUUACCUUCUUGCAUUAGAACACAACUCAAACCAUUCAAUGAUGUAUCACUAUAAAUCACAAAAUCCUUACUCGAUUCAGGCUGAACUAGAACCAGUGCUUCAGUCAACAAGGCCUUCAAUCGAUCAAAGCUUUGCUGGUAUUUAUCAGACCAUUCAAACUUCACAUCUUUUUGUAAUAGCCGUGUCAUCAGUGAAGCUAUCAUCAAGAAUCCUUGUACAAAUCUCCGAUAAUAACCGACUAAUCCCAGAAAACUUCUUAUUUCAGACAUAUUUUUUGGUGGUUUCUAAUUAAGAAUAGCUGAUAUUUUAUUCGGGUCCACUCUGAUGCCUUUUGCUGACACUAUAUGUCCAAAAAACCCAACUUUCCGAAGCCAAAAUUCACAUUUGCUAAAUUUAGCAUACAACUAUUUUUCACAUAAUGUUUGCAGGACAAUUCUCAAAUGAUCAGCAUGCUCGGUUUCAUCUCGAGAAUAUACCUGAAUAUCAUCUAUAAAUACCACCAUAAAUCUAUCUAGAUACAAUCUGAAAAUCCUAUUCAUUAAAUCCAUAAACACUGCAGGUACAUUAGUUAAGCCAAAUGGCAUCACAAGAAAUUCAUAAUGCUUGUACCUGGUUCUGAAGGCUGUUUUUGGCACAAUACGAGGUGUGGAUACUUAUUCUUAAUUGUGACUUUGUUGAGCUAUUUGUAAUCAAUACAUAACCUCAAGGAUCCAUCCUUUUUCUUAACAAACAAAACCGGUGCACCCCCAGGUGAAGAACUAGGUCGAGCAAAACCUCUAUCAGUCAAUUCUUGAAACUGUGCUUUCAACUCUUUUAAUUCUAUUGGAGCCAUUCUGUAAGGUGCUAUAGAUAUCGGUGUUGUUCCAGAAACAAGAUUUAUAGAAAAUUCCACUUUUUUGUCCGGUGGUAAUCCGGGUAAUUAUUUUAAAAACACAUCAGGAUGUUCACAUACCACUAACAUUGAUUUAAUUUUUGAUUCAGAUACUUUAGUGUCCAACACAUAAGCAAGAUAAGCAUCUUACCAUUUUUUGACAUAUUUCUGUGCUGACAUGGCUGAUAUCAUAUUAAACAACCCAUCCAUUUUAUUAGAUUCAAUACAAAGCAUUUCACCAUUCUGACAUUUCAAUACAAUAUGCUUUUGUUUGCAAAUUACCAUAUCAUCAUGCUGAGUUAACCAGUCCAUACCCAAAAUCACAUCAAAUUCAUCAAAUGGCAGUAACAUCAAAUCAGCCGAAAAAUAGAAACCCUAUAUCAUUAACGAAAAUUCUUACAAAUUUUAUCCAUCAUCACAUAUUGGUCUUGGGGGUUCAAUACCUUAACCACGAAUUCAGUGGACUCGACAGAGAAAUUUUUAUUUAGCACGAAAUUCGUACAAAUUUAUGAAUGUGUUGAACCAGUAUCAAUUAAAGCAGUUAUAUUAGUAUCAAUGAGAGAAAAAGUACCAAUAAUAACAUCAGGUGUAAAGGCAUCCUCAUGUGUAUGAAUAGCAUAUAUUCUAGCCAGUGCUCGUGCUUCAGAUCUAACAGUUGAAUCUUUUGUCAUACCUCGGCUACCACUCACAUUGUCAGGGUUAAAAGGCGGUCUACCUCUUGUAGUUGUAUUGCUCGACUUUGAAGUUUGAACAGUAUCUCUUUCAACUUUCUCCGGACAAUCUUUGAGAUAGUGGUCAUAGGAACCACAUCUAAAAUAGGCUCCGCUCCUCAUGCCGCACUUACCAAAAUGCAGUUUAUUACAAUACUUGCAUCUAGGUUUGGUAUUUCUAACACUGCCCUAACUUGCUAUAGAUGUAGUCUAGGAUCUUGGACUGGAGUGUUAAAUACCUCUAUCUCUCCUGGAGUACCCUGCGGAGGUAGUAGAACGAUCAAAAUUUUUCUUUGAUUUCUUUGGGGCCAAUUGUUGUAACUUUCCCGUAAAUCUUUUACUUGAACUUCGAGCUUCAAUCUCAGCUUGUCUUUUCUCUUUGUUAAGCUCUUCGGCUUUAUGAGCUCGAUCAACCAGUACAACAAGUUCUUUCAACUUGAGAAUCCCAACUAACAGCUUUACGUUUUCGUUUAAACCAUCUUCAAACCAUUUACACAAGGCAAUUUCAGUCGGGAUAUAUUCUCUGGCAUACUUGUCGUUCAUACUUAGAUACAACACAUUUCAAACAUUCGACCGACGUGCAAGAUAAUUCAUCUAAAACCCUGGUAGUGUUUUCUAGCCAAAAUUCAGCCCUUUCAGGAUCAUCUUAGGCUGUUGCUCUAAAUUUUUCUACCCCAUAUUUACGGAUUUUAUCAACAGGUGGCUUAUCGAUUCUAAAAAGUUUUGUACUUUGUGGCAUUUCGAGAAUCGAUUGAGAAACAAGAGGGGGUGGAGGUUGUUGUAUUACCGGAUUUGUUCUUACAAAUUUUAUAAACCAUUCAUUCAUCAUUUGGAAGAAUGUUUCUUUAGCCUCUCCUCAUCGACCCUCAGAUACGGGUCUUUUACUACUCGAGGCUGCUCUUUGUACUGAAGUUUGAGCACUGCUCUCAGCUUUUUUAGAUUCAGCUCGGUUAGAUAACAUUACUAUAUAAAAAACAUAUUUAAAAUGGUCAAGAAAUAUCACACUAUCAUAGGUUAUAUAAUAGCAUUUAUAGCUAGACUCGUACAUGCUACAUUAGUCUGAAAAUCAAUUAAACUGUAGCUCUGAUACCGAUAAAUGUAAUAUCCCUAACCCAUAUUCGUCACCAAAAUAGGGUUACAGAGCAUUACUGAAAUAAACAAAUCAAAUACAAACAUUUCAUAUUAUUUAACAUUCAUGUCAGAUAUUAUUCAUAAAGUCCCACAAAUGAGCCCUCGAGGCCCAAAACAUACAUUAGAAAUAAGUUAGGACUACACUGGGUACUCAAGAGAUUUUUUGCAAAAUCUCAAAUUUUUUCCAAGCUACAGGGGACACACGCCUGUGUGGUCAGGCUGUGUGAGCAAGACACGCCCGUGUCUCAGGCCAUGUGGAUAUUCGAAAUAGGGCACACGGCCAUAUCCCAUCCCUUGUGCAUACCCGUGUAACUCUCUGACUUGAGUCACAUGGCCAAGCCACACGCCCGUGUGCUAGGCCAUGUGAACAUAAAAAUUUGUAUUAAAUAGGUGCAGGGGUCACACGGCCAAGCCGCACGCCCAUGUGCUAGGCCGUGUGGUCAAUUUCAAGUAUUCUGUUUUGAAAUUUUUAAGAUGCAGGGAACACACGGCCAAAACACACGCCCAUGUGCUAGGCCAUGUGUCACACACGGCUGAGACACACGUUCGUGUCUCUGCUCGUGUGGGCAAAAUAAGGUUAUUUCCUAGCCAUAUUUCUCACCUAAACUUGUUUUCUACCUACAAUAACACUUAAAUACAUUCCCAAAUCAAUAUAAAACAUUUGAAUUAAGCCAAUAUCAAGUAUUAAACUUAACAUUUUAUCGCACAACCAAGUAUAUAAACUUACCUUGUUGACUGAUUUAUUAUAUGCAUAUUCAAUUUUACAUUUCAUUUUUAUUCAUUCAGUUACAUAUAUAUAUCGGUUGAUGAGGCCACAUACACAUACAUAUAUAUAAUUGUACUAACACAAGCCAUUCUAAUGGCUAAUCACAACAAAACAUUUACAUGCCAACAUUGACCAAGGUAACCUAUACAUGUCAUUAUAACCAAAGUUGAUUUACUAAAUAUACCAAGAUGAGUCGAUGGAUAGUGAGAUGAUAUCUCAGCCAAGCUUCCAACCCAACAAGCUUCUGAAUUAUAAUAGAACAGAGGAAAAUAAAACAGAGUAAACAUUUAAUGCUUAGUAAGUUGUGUUUUAUAAUGAUUUAUUAGGUCAAGUGGUUUUAAAAAGUGAGGUAUUGAGACCUCGUUUCUAUAAACUGAGCCGUAAAUAUUUUUAUAAAUAUUUACGGAGUGUCAUUAAGGUAGUAUUAAAGUUUCGUUGAAAAAAUUUAACGUUUUAAUAGUUAAUUAAUUAAAAAGGACUAAAUUGAAAAAGGUGCAAAACUUGCUAAUAAUAGUAUUUAAGCGAUUAAAUGGCUUGAUAAAUAAAUGAGGGAGGACUUAGGUAGCAAUUAAACCUACAUUAAAAAGAUGAGGCGGCAUAAGAGAAAAAAAAAGCCUUUAAUGGCAAAAUUGUGAUUUUUAUGGAAUUAAAUAAAUCAAAUUGAAAUUGAAUAGCUUUCUAUGCAUUUCUUCUACAAUAUUCAUCCAAAAAUUGUCAUAGGAGAAUAGCUUAAGUUUGUUAUUUUAUAUUUUUGCUUCAUGUAAGUUCAAUUCUUACCCGUUUCUUGUAAUUUUUAUGUUUUUGAGAUUGUUACAAUUAGGUCCAACUAAAUCUUACCUUAUUUUUUUAUUUUAUUAAAAGUUUUGGAAGUUACCAUUGAUGAAUAUUAGAUGUUUUUGAUGAAUAACAUGGAUUUAGAGCUUUGAUUGUGUUGUAUGAUGAUUUUAUAAAGUGAUUUUGUUAAAUAUUGAUUUUUGGAUUAAAUUGUAAAAAUCUUAAAAUAUGAGGGUUUGAUAGUGAAUUUUCUGGUUAUUAGGGGCUGUAUAAUGGCUUAGAAUAUUUGAAUAAAUUAUUGUUUGAGGAAUAUGAGUUAAUUUUAUAGAUUAACUAAUUAAAGGAUUAAAUUGCAAAAAUUAUAAAAGUUUGGGGUAAUUGUAUAAAUUCAAAAAAAUAAAAGGGUAUUAAUUUUGAAUUGAAUUAGAAGUGAAAUAUAUGCUAAUGAAUGAGUAAUUUUAUAUUUUAGAUCAAGAUCCCGUAGAAACUCGUGAAAAAGGAAAAAUUAUAUAGUAGUUCCUAAACUUCUGCAAUUGCUACAAUUCAGCCCAAGUAAGUUCGUACGAUUAAAAAUUUAAUAUUUUGUAUAAAUUUAUGAAUGGCAUUAUUUAUUUUUUCUAUUUUUGGAAUUGAAUUAUUGUUGGAAUUAUAAUAUUGAAUUGGAUUUCGUUUUGAAUGGAACGCGGGAUUUGAAUACAUUCGUAUUUUGGUGUAUAAUGGUAUUGGAAGGAGGCAAUGACAUUUUUCCCAAGUAAAUCGAGGUUCAACAUUUGUUGCGAACUCUCGUGUUUUACUUUCUGUUAAGCUCUUACGAGCUUCUGUUCAGCUUUCAAGCUUCUGUUGCGUAUUCGGGAGGACCAGCUCUUAUGAGCUUCUGUUGACAAUGAACUCUUAUUCGUAAGUCGUUCUUCGAAUGGAAAAUUUUGGUAUAGUGAUUUAUUUAAUAAAUUUGAAAGGCAUCUUAUGUAUUUUUAUAUUGAUUUGAAUACAAAGGUAUUUUUCAAUUGAAGUUGUGAAUGACAGGGAGUUGACAUGAAUGAUAUUAUUUAUUUGACUUGUUAUAGUUAGUUCGGUAAGAUUUUUAUUUAUCUCGUCGAAUUACCAAGCUUCAUUAAGCUUAUUUGUGUUGUUUAGUGUCCUUGUAGAUUUUCUGAAGGUUAAACGAUUGGAUCAACACUCACGACACACUAUCUAACUUAUUCCGGUAGUUUUUGAAAUGUUCAAUAUGGUUUAUAUGGCAUGUAUAGGUUUUUGUACGGUUUAGUCAAGGCUUGGCUUGUGAAAAUAUUAUGAUAGAUAUUUUGUUUAAAUAACCAACUUACAUAUUGGUAUGAGAAUGAGGUAUAUUGUGAUAUGAGUAUGAGUGUUAUAUGUAUGUAUGUAAUUGAAUUAUAGUGAACUUUGGUAACUUGGUUGGCUAAAUAAUUAGAUAAGUUUGGUCAUUUUUUUAAAGUUACCAUUUAAGGUAUUUAAUGGUAUAUUAGUUGUAUGUGGUGAUGAUACAUGUUUAAGACAUAAUUUUAGCUUGUGUUGAAUGCCUUGUUAUGACUUGUUGAUGUGUAAUUUGUUGAGGUUAGGUUGGUGUCAAUUUGGGUGAGAAAUAUGGCUUAGAAAAUGAGUUAUUUUUGUUUACACGGGGAGAGACACGGGCGUGUGUCUUAGUCGUGUGUGACACACAGCCAAGUGACACGGCCGUGUGUGACAAACGGCCAAGUGACACAGCCGUGUGUCCCCUGUAUCUUUUAAGAAUACAAGUCAGUAUGCUCACAUGACCUGGCACACAGGCGUGUGACUUAGCCAUGUGACCCAUGUCAGAAAGUUACACGGGUAUGGACACGGGCUAGACACGGCCAUGUGUCCCUAUUUCGAAUGCCCACACGGCUUGAGACACGGGCGUGUCUCCUGACCGUGUGAGUCACACGGCCGUGUGACCACUACAAUGUUGAAAUUUUAAAUAUUUCUAAAAAAUUCUCUGAGUUUUCGAUUUAGUUCUGAUUUUUUUUCUAAUAUGUAUUUUGGGUCUUGAGGACUCGUUUAAGGGACAAUAUAUAUAAUUUUUGAUUAUUUUUAUUAUGAAUAUUGAUAUGUAAUGAAACGUUUGAAAUUUUUGUCUGAUUGAUCCGUAAACCCUGGUAAUGCUUAAUAACCCUGUUUCGGCGACGGAUACGGGUUAGGGGUAUUACAAAUUACCCCCAUAACCAUCAAGGUGUGCUGAUGGUAGGCUUGAAGCUUCAAAUAAAGAAAAUCCCUAGUUUGGAAUACCUUAUCACUUCUUUUACAACCAACCAAUUGCUUCAUUCGAUCUUGUGCCCUCUUCAAGUGAAACUUAAGAAGUUGACUUGCUGCUUCCCUCUAUUGAAGGCCAUGGUCCACUGUAUCCAUAGGAGAGUUGCCAGCCAAAUAUGGUAGAUGGUGGGGUAGUUUCUACCCAUAGAAGGCCUCAUAAGGUGUGCUCAUAAUAGUUGAAUGGUAGGAUGUGUUGUACCACCAUUCAGCAAGGGGUAACUAGAGGGACCAAUCAUGUGGUCACUCUCCUAUCAUACACCUCAACUAGCUUUCCAAGCAACAGGUAAGAACUUUUGUUUAGCCACUUGUCUCAGGAUGGUAUGUUAUGGACAUGUGAAGGCUGGUCCCAAGUCUCUUAAAAUUUUUUUUUCGAAAUUUGCUAACAAGUACCUUGUCUCGACCAAACACCAAAAUACUAGGUAGACCAUGCAACUUGUAAACGUGGUCCAAGUACGCUUAAGCUACUGUCAAUGCUGAAAAUGGGUGAGUUUAAGAGACAAACUGACAAUACUUGGUCAACCUGUCCACCACUACUAAGAUGGUAUCCCUCCCCUUAGAAUUUGGUAAGCCCACAACGAAAUCUAAAUUGAUUGUUGCCUAAGCUUGACCUGGUACUAGUAAGGUUUGUAAAAGCCCUAGAUGAGUUGCACUAUCAGACUUACAGCUCUAGCAAGUGCUACACUCCUUGACCCAUUGCCUGAUAUCCUUAGAAAGACCCUUCCAAUAAAGGAGCCCUACCAUUCUAUGCUUGGUGGCAUAGAUUCCAGAAUGGCCACCAACUACUCCCCUAUGAAAGUGUUGAAAAAGGUCAUUUCUAAUGCUGCCACAAUUCCCAACCACAACCUUGCCCUUCCUCCUUAAUGUUUUUCCAUCCUAAGAACAUUUAGGAUGUAAGCGUAGUUGUUAUUGGACCCCCAAACAAAGUUGUUGGAGCUUGGAGUUGGUUAGACAGGAGCCCAUUACCUUGAUCCACAUAUCUGACUAAACAAUACAUGUCAAUAUAUUAUAGCAAUUGUGUCUGCACCUCUUGUGUUCUUUUGGAUAAUGCAUCAACUACCAUGUUUUGAGUACCCCUUUUGCAACACUCCUUACCCGACCCGAUCACCGGGGUCCGAGCAAUAAAGUGCCACAUUCAUUGCCAGAGCAACUAUUGAGAAAUACACAGUAAAAACAUCAUUUCACUUCAUCAAUUAUGCAAUCAGUCAAUAAUACAAUAGACAAUAUCAUGAAGAUUUUUGUUUUGGGUCUUAUAUGAGCAUACAAAUGCUUUAAAGUCAUCCUGAGAUCAAAUAAGGACCUUUUUGCAACACUCUUAAAUUUUAGAUCAAAUAUUUUAUAAAUAAAUAAUUCAAAUAUUCAAUCAUAUAAUAAACAUCUAGAUAUUAUGAUACACAAUUAAAUACGAGUCUUAAUCGAGCUUACGAAAACUCUUUUGUAGACCCGAGCAUGAAUUAUGAUCAAAUUGCAAGGUUUUAAAAUUUUGGGUUCCAUGUCGUGACAUGAGCUCCUCCAUGUUGUGACGUUGCCGAAACAGUGAUUCACGUCACAACGUUGGAACAUUUGAUGUCGAGACGUUACAAACUGUCUAUCAACAUUGGGUAUUUCACGUCGAGAUGAGGAUCCAAUUUUUAUGAAAAUUUUCCAUUUGGUACCUAUUUCAUGUCAAGCUGAACCUUAAUCUCAUUUGGUGCAUAUAUGCACAUCUAAACCUGUACAAAACCAAACCAAAUGCAGGCCAAAACAACCUAUUUAACCACUUCAACCAUUCAAUGCAACAAUUCCACAAUUUGGCAUCCAACAUAUCAAUCCAACUUAUACCAAUUCAACCUACUCCACUUUGUCCAUUAUCUAUUCAAUAACAUCAUUUAACCAAACCAUUUCAUCCUCAAUCAUACCAUUUAAGAGUCAUUCAACAUGUCACCACAUGUUACCAAGCAAACAUAUAUAUGCACAUAAGUAUUACUUUUCCAAAAUCAAGCACUUAGCAAAGUUUCAACCAAAACUAUCAUUCAAAGUAAACACAUUAAUUAACUCCUAUGUACUUGCCACAUAAUUGAAUCAAGCAAAUAAAAGACUAUUGAAUUAAUAGGUGGGAUACUGUGAGCUUCGUACGAUCCACUUAACGUUUUCUGCAAGUUAACAAUCUACAAGAAAAGAGAAAACACACUGUAAUAGCCCGAUUUUUAAAAAUGUCAAAAACAGUGGUUCGAGACCACCAAAUUCGGCAAAUAAGCUCGUCAAUUUUAUUAUUUAAUAAUUACGAGCCAAAUAUGAUUUUUUUAGAGAUUUUUGAAUUAGUAAUUUGUGUUUUAUAAAGAUUUAUUAAGUCAAGAAAUUGAGGAAAAGAGGUACCGAGACCUCGAUGUUAUAAACCUAGCCAUAAAUAUUUUUAUAAAUAUUUACGAAGUGUCAAUAUUGUAUUGUUAAAGUUUCGUCAGAAAAUUUUAACAUUUCGACGGUCAAUUAAUUAAAAAGGACUAAAUUGAAAAGAUGCAAAUAGCUUAACAAUUAAAUAAGGAAGGACUAAAAGAGUAAAUGGACCAAUUUAAGUGGCUGAGGCGGCAUACGGUUAAAAAAAUCAAAGAUUUUUAUGUAUUUAAGGACAAAAUUGAAAUUACAAUAAAGUUUGUGGCCAAAAUUUAUUUUAAGGAUUUCAAGACCAUUUCUUCUUGAACUUUCAGUGAAAAACAGCCAUGGAAGAGGGUUGAGAGCUGGUCUUUCAUAUUUUAGCUUCAAGUAAGUUCAAUUCUUGCUUUUCCCUUGAAAUUUUUAUAUUUUUGGACUUUUACAAUUAAGUCCAACUUAGUAUUCUAUUAGUUUUUUAUUUUGUUGAAAGUUUUGGAAGAUACCAUUGAUGAUUUCAUAUGAUUUUUGUUAUUUGAUGAUAAAGUUGAGAUGUUAAUGGAUGUUUAACGGUGUUUUAUUAAAGAAUGUUGGAUGAAGACAUGUUUUAGGGAUUUAAUUGAAAAGCAUUGAAUUUAUGGAAAAAAACUAAAAUUUUAUGGAAUUCAUGAGCUGUUAUUGAUAUGUAUGAGGAUUAUUAGAGCUGGAACAAGGAUUAAAUUGCAAGAAUUUCAUUUUUCGAGCUUAGGGACGAAAUCAUCAUGUAUUAAAAGUUUAGGGUCAAAAUGGUAAUCAACAUUUUGCACUAACGGUUUUGGGCAGCAACAGUGGUCUAACUUUGAAAAAUCACCAAAAAUUGUGGGAAUCGAAUUGGAAGAUGAAUAAAAUAUGAAAUUAAAUCUUUUUGAGUCUAGUUUCUCAUAGAAGAAACGGUGUAAGCAAUGAAAUUGUAAAUCACAAGAUAUAAUAAAUUUUGUGAGACAAGGUUAGAAUGAUUUCGGGUUACCCUAUUCUAAAUUUGGAAAAUCAUAAAAAGUUAGAGAAAAAUAAUUAUGGGCUUAAAUUUAUAUGUUUAAAUUCUUAGUGAGUCUAUUUUUAAUAGAAACAAACGGGAACAUCAUCCGAAUCCCGUACGAGGAGAUAAUUAAUUUUUAGUGAAAAAUGGUUGAAACUGUUAGACAGCAGAAUAGGGAUGACUUUAAAGAAUAAACUGUACUUAUCGGCUAAACCAUAAAUUCUGAACAUUUUAUGGUAAGAAGAUAUGUGAGACUAGUUUUAGAGGAAUUUGGCGGAUCUUAAUUUGGAGUUCUGUAGCUCAAGAUAAAAAUAAUUUAGUGACUAUGACACAGAUGGACAACUUUGAAUAUACAUAUAAGUAAAUAGUGAAAUUAUAGAUAAUGUUACUUAUAAGCGUGUUAUAUACAAUACGGAUGUAGAAUGAAAAGGAGGAGGAGGAAAAUAUAUGAAUGACUUGUGUAUAAAAUGGUCAUAUGCCCGAUUAUAAUCGAUAAACGUUGAAUUAGAAAUGAUAUAAUGUUUUAUUUCAAAUAGUUAUUAUGAAAUUAUGAUUAUCGUUAUGUUAUAAAAAUCGAAUUGUAAGUUCACAUGACUGAAAUUUAAUGAUUAAAUGUUAAUUUCAUGAAUUAUAUAAUGUAUGAUGAGAUAUAUUUGUUGAUGAAUUGAGAAUAAAAUGACAAUGCAAAAAUCGAAUAAAUGAUCAAAUUGAGCGGAACGUCAGAUUUGAGAAUUUCUGAUCAGUAACAAGUGAUUAGUGGUAGCUUUAGCUACACUUAUCUGAUCAGUGACAAGUGACAAGUAAUAAGUGGUACCUUUAGUUACACUUAUCUGAUCAGUGACAAGUGACAAGUGAUAAGUGGUAGCUUUAGUUACACUUAUCUGAUCAGUGACAAGUGACAAGUGAUGUGAUAUGUGAUUUUUGUGUAAGACCAUAUCUGGGAUAUAACAUUAGUGUGAUAUGUGUUCUCGUGUAAGACAAUAGCUGGGAUAUGGCUUCAGUGUGUGAUAUGAGACGAUGUGCAAGACCAUAGUUAUACUAUGGCAAUGUGAAAACGAAGUACUCAAUUUCGUAAUACGUUCUCUAAUUUGUCAAAUUGUGGUAAGUGUUAAGCAAAUUUUAUGUGAUAAAACAUAUUGAACAGUGAAAUUGAGCUCAAUUAUGUGAUCAUAUCAUUCAGAAAUUGUGAUUGACAGGAAGAAAUAGUGAAUUGACUAUGAAAAUGUGAAUAGAAAGCAUGAGCUAAAUGUUCAUGAGAUAAAUAAUGGCUCAAUGUGAUAGUAUAUGAUGUUAUUUAAUGAAAGCCAAAUUGAAUUGUAGAUGACUCGGAUUAUCCAAAAAUUUUCUGUAAUCUCUGGUAAUGCCUCGAAACCCUAUUCCGGCGAUGGAUACAGGUUAGGGGUGUUAAACAUACAGAGCAUUACAAAUGCUUAGUAAGUUCACAUGUAUUAAACCAAGUAACUUACCUUAGUUUAUAAUUAAACACUACAUGUUACUUAGCUUGGUAAAGUUUGCCUAACAUGGCAAAUCAAAUAUAAAAAAAGGUGAGUUAACAUUUAACCUCAUCAUAUAACAUUUCAAAUAUGAAAUAAGCUAAAUCACCUAGAAUCACAUUUCAAUACAAUUCUCAAAACCAAUUCAAUAUUUAAUCAUAUGAACAUCAUUCUCAUAAUAUCAUAUGAUUCCAUCUAUUUAUCAAUUAUACAUCCAAUUUUAGUUUAAUGUCAAUUACUAUUUCAUUUCAUUAUUUGAAUUUCAAAUCGAAUUCAUUAAUUCAUCACAUUUCUACAUAGGCCCUCUGGGAUCGUAUAAUCAGUUCGUAUGAUUUUUCAAAUACCAUCGGUAUCCGUAAAUCGUAAUAUGUAUACAAAUAAUCAAAUCAUAAUGUCAACCCAAUUCAAAUAUCAUUUAUCAAAUUUUCAUUUUAUAACCCUAUAAAUCUGACUUGGAAUCAAUCCAAAAUAAUAGAGAAUCAAUUCAUUCCAAAAAGAAUAGAAACUUAAUCAAUUUCCAAUGAUUUGACAUGACGAGGCUCGGAUGCCACUUGUUAGAAUCGUAAAAUUCUUAUAUAUAACUUAAUAAAUUAGGAUUUGUCAUGUUCAAACAUCAAGAACAAAACUAAAUGCGAAAGCAUACUUGAAUUCAUCGACUUUUUAAAAUCUCCAAAUCUUAUGGUUUUGAUAUUCCAAAUUAGCACACAAGUAAUCUAGAGAAGAUGUCUCUCUUUUCUAAAAAUGAGAGAUUAGAAAAGUUAUGUAGGUGUAAUUUGGGGACCAUAACCCUAAUAUAUAACUUUUGUACAAUAACACAAAUUUCUAAUAAGCCCAUCAUCAAUUAAAAAUUAGUUACUAGAUUCAUCUACGCAUAUUUGGCCCAUACUUUAUUUAAUAACUAAAGUCCAAUAAACCUUAACCAAAUUAGAUCACUUUUAAUUUAGGUUAAUCUUUUAUGAUAGAAAAUAAUACUAUGUAAUUAUUAUAUAUGUGAUAUCCAUAUUUUCCAACAAUUUCUAGUUGUUAAGAGCAUUGAUUUGUUCUACAUGUGUAUGUUUCAAGACAUAUAUGGGAUGUCUCAAGACAACACUUGAAAAUGUAAUUGUCAAAACACGAGAUGUCUCGAGAUCUUGAAGGUAUGUCUCUACACUUCAAAAAUAUGUCACAGGAGCAAAGUUUUACUUUCGAUCUUUCAUGUCUUAAGACAUAUUGUCUUGUGUCUCGAGACAUUGCUGAAAAAUUCACUAUUUUAGCUUAGAAACAUUUUUAAAGGAAUUAGGGAUACUAAAAAACUUUUGUAAAUACUCUAAGGUAUUUGAAUACUUGUUUUUAAGUUUUUCAACACUUGAAAAUAAUUUGUGUCAUUAAUUUUAUUUUUGCAAAUUUGAUUAAUGAGAGUUUAGAAUCAUUCUGUUAUAUUAAAAUAUUUGAAAAUCAACACCAAUGAAAUUAAAUAAAAAUAAUGUUUCUAUUACUUGAAUUCCUUACCAAUUUUGAAAAUUUUCAUUAUUAUAAUCAAAACAAAUAAAUUCGGAAUGCUUUUACUUUUUUCAAUUAAAAAUUGUUUUUUCGUUUGAAAGAGAGGAGAGAGAAAAAGAAAGGGAGAAGAACAUAAUAAAUUACUUACAAAGAAAAGGAUAGGGACUGGCUAUGCAAUUUUACUUGUUUGAAAUGUAUAAUUUGUCACAUCAAUUUAUUAUUACACCAUUAAUGGCUUAACACCAAAAUAUAACAAAUCGAUAAUAUUAAUCAUCACAUUAUAACUUUUAAAGUUUGGUGACCAAAACGUAAUUUAACUCAUACAUAAGUGGUUAAAUCUGUAAUUUACCCUUAAUUCAAAAACUAACUCAACUCAAACUAAUUCACCGGUCAAACUCACACGUCAUGAAAUUUAAACCUAAAAUCUCAAAUUUUCCGAUAUCUCCUCCUUACCAAGACUUCAUUGGUUUGUUAUAAAUUGAAAUCUCAUUGGCUGUUGUCAUAUUUUUCCAUCUGAUCCACGCCCAGACAUAGUCUUUAUGUUAUUAACUUUGAUUUUGUUAUAUUAAAUUAUUGAUAUCUUGAUUUAACACUGAUAUGAAGGAUAUUAAUUUAUAAUUAAAUUUAAUUAAUUAAAAAUAAAUAAUAUUUAUGUAUAUUACCUUUAAAAUGAUUCAUCAACAAUGGAUCAGAAGUCGCAAUAAGUGCUUAUGAAAUUCAAAUCUUUAAAUAAUUACUUUUGAAAAGAUUUUAUCUAAAUACUAGAUAACAUUUCAUCAAUCUGUAGAAUUUUAAAUAAGAAUUUUUGACUUGGACAAAAUUCUUAGCAAUAUAUUUGGGUAAUUUAAAUAGGAAUUUAUAUAGUUUAUUGGUUUUUAAAAAAUAAUAAAAUUUAAAAAGAGUUUAUUUUUGUUAAGAGCUAUUUAAAUUUAAUUUUAAAAGUAGACAAACUUGGCAUGCAAAUAGACAAAAAAAAUUUUAUGCAUUUAAUUGGUGCCGCGGAGGAUCGCAUCACCUUUUUUCAUCCAAUCUAAAAAAAGUAUUUGCUUCAUCAGGGCUAAUGACAAUGGCGGCACGCAAAUUUUCUUUUGAAAACCAAAGGUGAUGACGCCAAUGACAAUGACGUCACUGAUAUUUACUGUUAAAAACGGAUCAUUUACAUACAUAAUUUUUAAAGUAGAUCUUUUAUAUAAAUAAUUAAAAAUUUUGGAUAUUUUUAUAAAAAAGCCAAAAGAAAUUACACCCAAGAGGUAAAGAUGGGCAUGAUCCAAAAGCCUAGCUAUUUGAUUGUGAUGUGGGUGAGGGAAGGUAGAAGGUAUGGACAUGUCGGUUCCUCCUCUUUUUGGAGAUGUGUCGCUUCUUAGAGUUGCAACAAGUCAACCUUUUUUCUUCCUAUUAUUCUUUUUUGGUGGGUUGAAGCGUCAAAGGUUUUACCUCCUACGUUCACCCUACUCAUGAGAAUUAUGAAGUGGAGACAAGUGUUACGUUCACCCAGCUCAUGACAAUUAUGAAGUGGAGACAAGUGUACGUACCAAAAGAAUGAGGGUAUAUCGCGUCCAAAGUAAUCCCUUUGACGAGACUGUAUGCUUACUGCAAGGAGAUUAAAGUGAAGUGAUAGCCAGAGGCUUUCUUCUCCGACCAAGUAAU
rnacentral:lncRNA from 1 species